GAUGAACGCUAGCGGGAGGCCUAACACAUGCAAGCCGAGCGGUAUUGUUUCUUCGGAAAUGAGAGAGCGGCGUACGGGUGCGGAACACGUGUGCAACCUGCCUUUAUCUGGGGGAUAGCCUUUCGAAAGGAAGAUUAAUACUCCAUAAUAUAUUAAUUGGCAUCAAUUGAUAUUGAAAGCUCCGGCGGAUAGAGAUGAGCACGCGCAAGAUUAGCUAGUUGGUGAGGUAACGGCUCACCAAGGCGAUGAUCUUUAGGGGGCCUGAGAGGGUGAUCCCCCACACUGGUACUGAGACACGGACCAGACUCCUACGGGAGGCAGCAGUGAGGAAUAUUGGUCAAUGGGUGCAAGCCUGAACCAGCCAUCCCGCGUGAAGGAUUAAGGUCCUAUGGAUUGUAAACUUCUUUUGUAUAGGGAUAAACCUACCCUCGUGAGGGUAGCUGAAGGUACUAUACGAAUAAGCACCGGCUAACUCCGUGCCAGCCGCCGCAGUAACAC
rnacentral:rRNA from 1 species